ACAAGAUGCCUGAUCCAAAGCCCACUGAAGUCAAUGGGAGUCUUUCCAUUGACUUCAGUGAGCUUUGGUCAUGGCCCAGAGU
rnacentral:pre_miRNA from 1 species